AUAGCACUGCUACAGGUAGACAGAGAGACAUAGCACUGCUACAGGUAGACAGAGAGACAUAGCACUGCUACAGGUUGACAGAGAGACAUAGCACUGCUACAGGUAGACAGAGAGACAUAGCACUGCUACAGGUAGACAGAGAGACAUAGCACUGCUACAGGUAGACAGAGAGACAUAGCACUGCUACAGGUAGACAGAGAGACAUAGCACUGCUACAGGUAGACAGAGAGACAUAGCACUGCUACAGGUAGACAGAGAGACAUAGCACUGCUACAGGUAGACAGAGAGACAUAGCACUGCUACAGGUAGACAGAGAGACAUAGCACUGCUACAGGUAGACAGAGAGACAUAGCACUGCUACAGGUAGACAGAGAGACAUAGCACUGCUACAGGUAGACAGAGAGAUAAUGAGAGACGGCACUGCUACAGCUGGACAGAGAGAUAAAGAGAGACAUAUCACUGAUACAUGUAGGCAGAGAUAUACAGAGAGACAUAGCACUGCUACAAGUAGACAGAGAGAUAAAGAGAGACAUAGCACUGCUACAGCUGGACAGAGAGAUGCUUAGAGACAUAGCACUGCUACAGCUGGACAGAGAGAUGCUUAGAGACAUAGCACUGCUACAGCUGGACAGAGAGAUAAAGAGAGACAUAGCACUGCUACAGCUGGACAGAGAGAUGCUUAGAGACAUAGCACUGCUACAGGUAGACAGAGAGAUAAAGAGAGACAUAGCACUGCUACAGCUGGACAGAGAGAUGCUUAGAGACAUAGCACUGCUACAGCUGGACAGAGAGAUGCUUAGAGACAUAGCACUGCUACAGCUGGACAGAGAGAUGCUUAGAGACAUAGCACUGCUACAGCUGGACAGAGAGAUAAAGAGAGACAUAGCACUGCUACAGCUGGACAGAGAGAUAAAGAGAGACAUAGCACUGCUACAGCU